GACGUCUAGGCCUACUCUAGUAUUAAAAAUUAACAAAGCAUAUGACAACAUGGCAAAGUAAUUAGUGGAUUUAUUGUGUAUCCCAAAAAUUGUCUGUACAACUGUGGAUUCUUGGUCAGCUUAUCAUCGAAGGUUCUUAUUUAGGAAUGACGGUACACUGGUUACACCCAGAUACUCUUGAGGGGUUUCAGCCUGAUUAGCUUGUAAUAGUUAAACCAAAAACACAUUUGAUUAUCUAACAAAAAUAAUCUUUGAAAUUUUUACCACAUAUAAGAUACAAAAUAAAGUGAUCAAAUGUAUUACCGACAAUGCUAGAAAUUAUAUAAAAGAUUUCAAAGUAUAUAAACAAGGAGAAGAAUCGGAUGAUGAAAUAGUACCUCUAAAAUUAUUUGAUCUAUUUGAAAA